UACACUAUUUCAAUUCUUUAUCACAUCAUUCUCACUUCACAUCAUUCUCAUAUCACAUCAUUCACAUCCCUAAAAAGAGUUUGCACUUCUGAAAUUCACAUUCAUUUGGUGUUUUAGUUUGGUGAUCUAGUUGGAUGGUAGUUUAAACUAAUGGCAAAUGAGAAUCGAUGAGUGUGUGGUUGAAGAUAACAACAACAAAGGGAAAUGUGACCACACAGCUUGUGAGUACCAUUGGAUUAAGAAGCAAGCCUCGUGCCUAACAAUCUUUUCCUUUAUUUCCUCUAUACCAUUGUCUUUCUUUUUCUUAUUCAUAUAAUAAUAUUAUGAUUAUUAUAUAUUGAGAUUGCAAAAGUAAAGCCCACGAAAGUUUUCCAACUUUAAUAUAUUGGAGCAUUCGACUAUAACCCAUCAUCACCCUUGUCACAUUCACAUGUUAUUCUCUUUUUUUUUUUUGUGUGAAUAAACUAGAUGAAAAAUGAAUAUAUUUGUAC
rnacentral:lncRNA from 1 species